GACGAACGCUGGCGGCGUGCUUAACACAUGCAAGUCGAGCGGUAAGGCCCUUUCGGGGGUACACGAGCGGCGAACGGGUGAGUAACACGUGGGUGACCUGCCCUCAGCUCUGGGAUAAGCCUGGGAAACCGGGUCUAAUACCGGAUAUGACUCCAUGACGCAUGUUGUGGGGUGGAAAGCCUUGUGCGGCUGGAGGAUGGGCCCGCGGCCUAUCAGCUUGUUGGUGGGGUGANGGCCUACCAAGGCGACGACGGGUAGCCGGCCUGAGAGGGCGACCGGCCACACUGGGACUGAGACACGGCCCAGACUCC
rnacentral:rRNA from 1 species